rnacentral:rRNA from 1 species
UACGUAGGGUCCGAGCGUUGUCCGGAAUUACUGGGCGUAAAGCGUGCGCAGGCGGCUUCCCAAGCGCCACGUGAAAGCCCCGGGCUCAACCCGGGAGGGUCGUGGCGAACUGGGAGGCUUGAGGCCGGUAGAGGUGGGUGGAACUCCUGGUGGAGUGGUGAAAUGCGUAGAGAUCAGGAAGAACACCCGUGGCGAAGGCGGCCCACUGGGCCGGUACUGACGCUGAGUGAGCGAAAGCCAGGGGAGCAAACGGG